rnacentral:tRNA from 11 species
GCCUCGGUAGCUCAACUGGAUAGAGCAGAUCCGUCCUAAGGAUAAGGUUGCAGGUUCGACUCCUGCCCGGGGUACCA